rnacentral:rRNA from 1 species
UACAGAGGGGGCAAGCGUUGUUCGGAAUUACUGGGCGUAAAGAGCGUGUAGGCGGCCAGACAGGUCCGUUGUGAAAACUCGAGGCUCAACCUCGAGACGUCGAUGGAAACCGUCUGGCUAGAGUCCGGAAGAGGAGAGUGGAAUUCCUGGUGUAGCGGUGAAAUGCGCAGAUAUCAGGAAGAACACCUAUGGCGAAGGCAGCUCUCUGGGACGGUACUGACGCUGAGACGCGAAAGCGUGGGGAGCGAACAGG